CCUGGGGAGGUGCAGCCCUGCGAGCACAGCUGAUGGCAAUCCGGCUGUGGGGUGGGGCUGAGACGGGCUCCUCCCCUCCCUGACCGCAUUUAAGGGCUGGGAAGCAAAGGGGCAGCAUCUGAGUCUGGCUGUGCUUCCUUGAGGGUGUGGGGGUGGCAGCAGAGAGCUGCAGCGCUCCCGAGUGCUGUAAGGACUGCACGGAGAGACGUGCGGGUCUUCACGGGAACAGCAAGGAACCGAAAGCUGCAUUUCCUGGGAUGCCCUGGAACCCCACUUUGCUGACUGGUAAUUGUCUGCCCAGCAGGUCUUCAAUGAAGAUAUUGGACAGAACAGGCCUGAAGAGCACUCAGGAUGGCAUACCAGCUGCUUUUAACACAAUGGAGCAGCACUCAUUAGGCCAGCCGGUUCAGCUACUUCUUCAUCUAGCAAGCAAUGUACCCGUCCAAGUAGCCGGCUGCAAUCUUUGAGAGAAUUUCAAGGGAUAGCACAUCAAAGGCUUUGCCUCAAUCAUGGGGUUGGGUCACUGCUUUGAGUGUGCUAGCGUGGCUGACCAUAAUCCUGUAACUGACAUCCUGUAGCUGGACAGAGACCAUUUGCACUCCAUCCAGGCUGUUUGAGACUCACGGCCAUGCUGAGAGUCACACUGAUUUCAGCGUGUGCAGUCAUUUUGCAUCAACCCAAUUGGCUUUAGCUUUACAAAUAAUUUGUCUCAACCAAAUUGGCUUUA
ensembl:lncRNA